rnacentral:lncRNA from 1 species
AUUUGUGAUAAAAUAUAUAAAAUUAAAUGGACAACCAAACAAUAUUAUACCUUGUGUCUGGUACAUACAUAAAAUCUAUUUAGUAUUACAAUGGUAUUACCUCAUAAUAACCAUUUUUUUAAAUCUUUUAUAGUGCGUUAAACAUUUGGCCAGAGACUGUAUAUGUACUACGGAAAAAACAGAAUCUGUUCAGAUUGUUAUCAAAUGUUAGCGUUUAGUGAAGCGUUUCAAAGAAUUCUUCAACUUACUUUUAUUUGUUUAUAAUACAGCUUCAUAAUUUUAUAAGACUUUACUUUUCGGCAAACUUUUGUAAAUUUAAACCAGAUUUUUCACUUUUUCAGCUAUUAUAAUAUUUUUAUUAUGUUUCUUAGCGACAAAGGUUUCUUAUUUUACGACAUCCUUUCUUCGUGUUCGCCGACACCAACCCUUAUGCAGGUUAUUUUUAAUCUAAUUUUAGAUAAAUACGAAGUAAUAAAAUAUAUUGGGAAUUUCGCAAUACUGGGUAUUAUCAACAAGUACCCAUACAAAAAUAUUUUGGCCGAUAGUAACUGGUAAAUUUCUAUAAAAUGGGUUUUAAAAAUAAUGACAUUAUUUGGCCGCGUCCCUAUUAUAUAAAUGGCCGUUAGUACAGGUUGCCGAUUUUGACAGGUGGCUGUUAACACAGGUUUUAAUAUAAUACAAUUUAACUAAAAUGAAAAUUUGUUUCAUGAGAAGUACCUAGCUAUUUUCAUGAGAAGUACCUAGCUAUUUUUUUGCGCUUAAAUACCUUUAAAUUCAAUAAAUAUUUUAUAAGUUUAGAUCAAACCUAUUAGAGGUAAACUGCACUAUGUCACUGUAAAUUACCAUUAAUUACAGUAAUUAAGGCAAAUUUUAACGUUUCAUUAGUUGGAUUGUUCAAACUAGUUAUAUGUUAUGAUUAAAAUACGAUCGCAUUGUCUUUCAGAGCAAAAGAUACCUAAUUAUGGGAUAUAGAAGAUUUUUAAAACAUUCAGAGGUAAACUACACUGUCACUGUAAAUUACCAUUAAUUACAGUAAUUAGGGCAAAUUUUACCGUUUUAUUAGUUGGAUUGUAUAAACUAGUUUUAUGUUAUAAUUAAAAUAUGAUCACAUUUUCUUUCAGAGCGAAAGAUACCUAAUUAUGGGAAAUAUAAAUUUUUUAAAAUAUUCAAACGGCCCUACUGAAAAGUUGCUUAAACUGACAUAGUGCAGUUUACCUCCGAGGUCCAGAUAUAUUUUUUGAUAUUCAGUACAAUUAUAUCUCACUUAGAACCCAAAUCACGUAACUACUAAUUAUAAGAAAAAUCCAGAUCCUGAUUAACAAAAGACAUAAAUUCAUCGUGACCUUGAAAUAGCACCAUGUACAUCGAAAUUUUCAAAAUCCGUUUGCAUAUUUAAGAAGAGCACAAAAAACUCACUUUAAUGGUCCGAUCAAUUUUUUGACCAGACAAUUGAAUGAGUUUAAUUUUGAAAUAAUAUUGAAAUUUUUUAGAGCUCAGAUUAAAAAGCAGGUAUAAUUAAUUUUUAAUAAAAAAAAUAUUCAAGUUAAUGAAUAAAUAUAAAUUUUAAUUAAAUUAUCAAUACUUAUUUAGUACCUAGGAACGGCCCACUUAGUAAUAACAAAAAAAUACAGGUCCGGAAAACAAAAGAAUACAAAGUAAUUGUGACCUAGAAACAACACUCUGUAUAUGGAAAUUUUCAUAUCCACUUGCACAUUU